rnacentral:lncRNA from 1 species
AUUGCAACAUCAAAGCUGAAGAUGUUGCACAUUGGUCUAAGAGAGGCCUUAGCACAUCAACCAUUUUCUCGUCAGCUACUUUAUUGAUUUUCUUUCUAAUCCAAAAUUAGUGCAGAGGAGAGGAGGGACCAAUAUCUCAAGGCACCAUCCACUAAAGCCCACUGCCACCAAAAGCCGUGGACCAAUAGAGAGAAGAAACCAAAUCAUUCUCUCUUUGAUUUCUCUAUUAUUCUCUCUUAUCUCUUAUAGCAGUGGAGAGGACCAUACCCAAGGGAAGGGAAUGGAAAAGGGAAUUGUGGAGAAAGGGAGGGAUAAAGGAAGAAUGGAGGAAAAG